rnacentral:lncRNA from 1 species
CAGCUCAAAUGAUUUUUAUGUCCUCAUAGGCUGAGGCCACCUUAUAAACAAUUUUCACUCAUUUCAUCACGGGAAGCGCAGGUCCCUGCCUCUUAGGAAGACGCUCAGUUUUUGAGCUGUGUCUUUCUUCAAAUGCAGUAGCCUUUAAGUUUUGUGAUGCUGGCCGUCCAUUUUGGGAUGUAGACAUCGACUGCUGAUAUUUUUAAAAAUAAAGUGAAACCUACACCCUCAUGACGGCUGCCUCACACACUAGAGAGAAGCGUACAUCGAGGGCUCUGCGAGUCCAGGCGGGUGGUCCAGGCCCGGCACGGCGGCGCAGUGACCUCUCAGGGAUCCAGGCUCACUCCGUCUUUCCACUUUGCAUCCUCCUGCACAGAGGUGUUUGUCCUUGUUGCCUCAUGAUUACAAGAGACCUUCUGCACCUCCCUGGCUCACGUCCACACUGCCAGCAGCAACGAGGAAGAAGAGGGUCAAGCUGUGGCAGUCUCUGUUUAAUACCAUAACAAAGAGUCAUCCUGAAAGUUCCACCCAGCAUGGAUGGAGGAAACGGAGAGAAGUGGAUGCAUUCAAGAAAUGUUUAGAAGGGAACAUUAAUAAGACUUGGAAAUGGAUUAGGUAUGAGGAUGAGAGAGGGGGAGGCGACAAGGAUGGCGCUGAGGUUUCUGGUCUGGGUACCAGGGAGCUGUCAGCACCGUUCACUCAGAGAAUGGCGGAAGAGCCUUGGGUUACGGGGGAAGAUCAUGAGUUUGGUUUGGAUGUGCUGAGCAUGAGAUGCCUUUAAAACAUCCUGAAAGAGACGUCACGUGGACAGUUGGGUGCAUUUGCUCUGCUCCUUCCCCCUUAAAGCAGGUUCUUUUGUCAGAAGCAGUGCAGUGUGGCAAAACCAUGGUGAGUGAGACCCUCAGUCAGUCCACAGGUGCUGGCCAGACAGGAGCACGCUGGGCCACAGCUUGAUGUGUCUACUCUGUUGGGGACAAAUCAGUGCCCCCUCCAACACAUGUGACACACACGGUGUUCACAGGCUGCUGGCUGCUGGGCACUCAGAUCAGCAGGAGCCAGGUCAGCCUCAGUGAGAGGAUUUGUUAAAUCUGGUGCAGGUGAGGAGAUUUGGAAAUAAAGUAAACACGCAAAACGGUCGAAAGCGUGACAAUUACAGUGAAAGAAAACGAAGUCUUGUGAUACGUAGCAACACCGGGUGGGGAGACUUCUUCCAGGCGGGUAACCAAGGAGGGCCUGUCAAGGAGACAGGAGACGACAUGAGGCUGAAACCUGCGGGAGAGGAGCAACCAGGUGAGAUGAGAGGCAGGACAUGCAGGGUGGGACAUGGUGCCAUCCCUUCUGUUGCUCUGCAGGCUGUGGGCCGAAGUCCAGUAAACUCCAGGGCCAUGCAGGGACUCUGCAGUCUUCGCCUCUGCGUCAGUUGGGGGUUAGGUUCUGCUAUGAGGAGCAGAGACCCACCUCCAAUGGCUUAAACAAAUUGGAAACUGAAACUGCUCUCUGGAAAUUUUGGCUCCUUGUGCCACAGUGUGAACACGCCAAAAGGGGGUAACUGAUAGCCUGGGGCAAUUGAUUCUGACUUUCAAGGUAAAUAUAAUUGCUCUUUCCAAUGCAGUCCCGGAGGAAUAUAUCCGGAGCCCAAGACAUCCUCCGGGGUUCUUCCCAGUGCUUCCAUAUCCACUGGUAAGUGUUAACGACCGGCUGCUGGAACGAUAUUCACAUGCGUCUCUGAAGCCCCAGGAAUGAAGGUCUGGCUGGGUCCCCUGCUGUGGAUCCUCAACAACCCCACGAAACGGAUAAAGACAAAAAGAACACGGAGCGAGUAUUAGAGGAGGGGAUCGUGAUUACCUACUGCGGUGUCAUCUCCAGUUUCAGAAAGACGAUUGUAGAAUGUUUCCCUGGGUUUUUCUUUCUCUGUCACCAAAGUUGACAAAGUUGAAAUAUUACAAUUACCAAUGCAUCCUAAAAAAG